UAGUAUACAUUCAGCCAUGCUGGCGCGCGCUUUUCAUCGCAGCCUUCCUCGCGCAGCGGGACUGUGCUCGUUAUAAAAGCUCCAGCCGCUUCUCCGCUCUCCCUUCAACAUUUUCAUUUCUUUCUGGCCGACUAGAGGAUAGCAGGAACUCAUUCCCGGCAGCAGCAGCAUGCAAACUUUCCUCGGAAUCCUGCUGCUUCUGCUGGUCCUUCAGCGGGUACCUGCGCAGAUAUCAGAUGAAGGGGGUCCCAAUACAGGUAAGAGUGAUGCCCUUUAUCAUGGCCCACUGAAAAGGCUCUCCUACCUGCUGCAAAUGACUUAAAGAUUAAGAUCCAACCUCUUAUGUAGUAAUUCAGUUGUCUGAGGUGAUGGCAAAGUGCUCGUGUCAGGUCAUGGACCAGCUGGUGUAUGUGUACGAUGAGUACCCCCAGUCGGUGGAGAACAACUACAUACCUCAUUGUGUGGUGGUGCGCCGAUGCUCUGGUUACUGUUCGGGUGAGGAAUUCAAGUGCCUUCCUACCCUCGAACGCAACGCCACUCUGCAGCUGAAGAUUUCUUCCCAAGAACAGCCCGUGGAGCUCACAUUUCUAGAACAUCAGCAGUGUCAAUGCAGAGACCCUGAGAAUCUUCCGUACUAUGAAAGAUCAGUAAUUAAGUCACAGCAGCAGCAGCAGCAAGUCCACUGAGAGCAGACCUCGGAGGAGGAAACAUACCAAGAAAUGGCUGUAGAAACUGCCAGUUCCAGACAAGAAGAUCACUCUUCGCUGAUUUGCACCUGGUGAAUAUGGAGUGGUGAACAUCACAUAUCUCCAUCCAUUCCCAUAUAUUUUAUAACUUAUAUACUGUUUUGUUUUGGUUUUUUUGCUGAGUAAUCACCAAAGCAACCCUAACCCUGGAUGUGUACAGUUCCUUUGGCCAUGGCCUCCAUUUUUCCGUUUUCAUCUAUUUAUCUUUUCACUUUAAGCUUGCUGCUGUGUUACGUUUUCAAAACAGACACAGUAUACAGAACACAUACAGAAUAGGAUCAGAGAUAAUGGCUGGAAUGCUUUGAGCUUUUCAACCAGGUUUAAAGCCUAAAUCCAUCCCUUAAGUGUUUAUUAACUUGUCAGAUUAAUGGCAUGUGGUGUCUUUGUGAUUUUUAUUCUGCUGUCUGCAUUUUUGUGCCAUUUGUAUAUAAAAGAAUAUUUAUAUAUGUAUCUAUUUUGUUCACAAUGACUAA